GAUGAACGCUAGCGGCAGGCCUAACACAUGCAAGUCGAGGGGUAGAGGAAGCUUGCUUCCUUGAGACCGGCGCACGGGUGCGUAACGCGUAUGCAACCUACCUUUUACAGGGGAAUAGCCCAGAGAAAUUUGGAUUAAUGCCCCAUGGUAUAAUCGGAUGGCAUCAUUUGAUUAUUAAAGUUCCAAACGGUAAAAGAUGGGCAUGCGUCCUAUUAGCUAGAUGGUAAGGUAACGGCUUACCAUGGCUACGAUAGGUAGGGGUCCUGAGAGGGAGAUCCCCCCACACUGGUACUGAGACACGGACCAGACUCCUACGGGAGGCAGCAGGU
rnacentral:rRNA from 1 species